CCCACAACUGUGACAAAAUGGCAGGCUUGGUAUAUUUUUCUUCUACUUUUGUUUCUGAAUACAUCAGAGCUCAGAUCAUGGUCAAAUCCAGGGUCAUAACCACGCGGGGCAAGUGCUCUACCAUGGAGCGUCAUAUCCAGGUCUGUUAUUCACAUGUUCACAUUUUCUUAUCAGAACUAAUAGGGAGAGCCUUAUUAAGAUCCCUCCAUCUAGCCUCUCAGAGACUUGAAGUACCAGGGUGGGGGAAUACCCAAGGGGACUGCC